rnacentral:rRNA from 1 species
AAUAUUGGGCAAUGGACGGAAGUCUGACCCAGCCACGCCGUAUGCAGGAAGACAGUCUUCGUGACUGUAAACUGCUUUGAAACAGGACUAAGAUUAGGGAUGCGUCCUUAAUUUGAAGGUAGUGUAAGAAUAAGCACCGGCUAACUCCGUGCCAGCAGCCGCGGUAAUACGGAGGGUGCAAGCGUUAUCCGAAUUUAUUGGGUUUAAAGGGCAUUUAGGCGGUCUUUUAAGUCAGAGGUGAAAGUUCAGGGCUUAACCUUGAAAAGUCCUUUGAUACUGGCAGACUGGAGUAAUAUGGACGUAGGCGGAAUUUGAGGUGUAGCGGUGAAAUGCAUAGAUCUCUCAAGGAAUACCGAAAGCGAAGGCAGCUUACGAUGUAUUAACUGACGCUGAAGUGCGAAAGCGUGGGUAGCGAAUGGGAUUAGAUACCCCAGUAGUCCAUGCUGCA